rnacentral:rRNA from 1 species
AUUGAACGCUGGCGGCAGGCCUAACACAUGCAAGUCGAACGAGUGGCGGACGGGUGAGUAAUGCUUGCGAAUCUGGCUUAUGGAGGGGGAUAACGACUGUAAACUUUCGCUAAUACCGCGUACCAUAGGAUGAGCCCAAGUGGGAUUAGGUCGUUGGUGGGGUAAUGGCCUACCAAGCCGACUAUCUAUAGCUGGUCUGAGAGGAUGACGAGAGACACCGGGACUGAGAAGCGGCCCGGACUGCGACGGGAGGCAGCGGUAGGGAAUGUUGCGCAAUGGGCGCAACACUGACGCAGCCAUGCAGCGUGAAUGAAGAAGGCCUGCGAGUUGUAAAGGAAUUUUGUCAGGGAAGCGGUACCUGAAGAAUAAGCACCGGCUAACUACGUGCCAGCCGCCGCGAUAAUUC